AACUUGAAGUAAUUAAUACAUUCAAUUUCGACUUGACAAUAAGAUUCUAAUCCAAGU
rnacentral:tRNA from 1 species